rnacentral:lncRNA from 1 species
CUUCACCAAACAAGAAGGCAAUUGACUCACACAAUUGCCUGAAGACUGGGCCUGGGAACUCCAGUUUCAUUCCACAGGGAUGCACUUAAAGGGCUGGCGUAGAGAAUGAAAAACUCCCCAAUGGAGUGCCUUCCUGCCUUCUCUAACUACAAAGUUCUUUAAGAAGCCAAGGGAGGCGUUACCUUCUUGUAUGCAGUCAGACUUCCACAGGAGUUUUGCUCCGGCUCACUGCAAUCUUGGCUCACUGCAACCUCCGCCUCCUGGGUUCAAGCGAUUCUCCUGUCUCAGCCUCCCGAGUAGCUGGGAUUACAGGUGCCCACCACCACGCCUGGCUAAUUUUUUGUAUUUUUAGUAGAGAUGGGGUUUCACCAUGUUGGUCAGGCUGGUCUUGAACUCCUGACCUCUGGUAAUCCACCCGCCUUGGCCUCCCAAAGUGCUGGGAUUACAGGCAUGAGCCACCAUGCCCCGCCUGUUUUAAUUUAAGUUCCAGGAUACAUGUGCAGGACAUGCAGGUUUGUUACAUAAGUAAAUGUGUACCAUGGUGUUUUGCUGCACCUAUCAACCAAUCACCUAGAUAUUAAGCCCAGCACGCAUUAGCUAUUUAUCCUGAUGCUCUCCCUCCCCCAACCUUCCGGACAGGCCCCAGUGUGUGUUGUUCCCCUCCCUGUGUCCAUGUGUCCAUGUGUUCUCAUUGUUCAUCUCCCCCUUAUAAGUGAGAACAUGCAGUGUUUGGUUUUCUUUUCCUGUGUUAGUUUCCUGAGGAUAAUGGCUUUCAGCUCCAUCCAUGUCCUUGCAAAGGACAUGGUCUCGUUCCUUUUUAUGGCUGCAUAAUAAGAAUAUAGG